rnacentral:tRNA from 1 species
UCGCCAAGCGGUAAGGCACUGGACUCUGACUCCAGUAUACGUAGGUUCGAAUCCUUCAUG